GCAGUCGAACGAUGAAGCCCUUCGGGGUGGAUUAGUGGCGAACGGGUGAGUAACACGUGGGCAAUCUGCCCUUCACUCUGGGACAAGCCCUGGAAACGGGGUCUAAUACCGGAUAACACUGCGGACUGCAUGGUCUGCGGUUAAAAGCUCCGGCGGUGAAGGAUGAGCCCGCGGCCUAUCAGCUUGUUGGUGGGGUAAUGGCCUACCAAGGCGACGACGGGUAGCCGGCCUGAGAGGGCGACCGGCCACACUGGGACUGAGACACGGCCCAGACUCCUACGGGAGGCAGCAGUGGGGAAUAUUGCACAAUGGGCGAAAGCCUGAUGCAGCGACGCCGCGUGAGGGAUGACGGCCUUCGGGUUGUAAACCUCUUUCAGCAGGGAAGAAGCGAAAGUGACGGUACCUGCAGAAGAAGCGCCGGCUAACUACGUGCCAGCAGCCGCGGUAAUACGUAGGGCGCAAGCGUUGUCCGGAAUUAUUGGGCGUAAAGAGCUCGUAGGCGGCUUGUUGCGUCGAUUGUGAAAGCCCGGGGCUUAACCCCGGGUCUGCAGUCGAUACGGGCAGGCUAGAGUGUGGUAGGGGAGAUCGGAAUUCCUGGUGUAGCGGUGAAAUGCGCAGAUAUCAGGAGGAACACCGGUGGCGAAGGCGGAUCUCUGGGCCAUUACUGACGCUGAGGAGCGAAAGCGUGGGGAGCGAACAGGAUUAGAUACCCUGGUAGUCCACGCCGUAAACGUUGGGAACUAGGUGUUGGCGACAUUCCACGUCGUCGGUGCCGCAGCUAACGCAUUAAGUUCCCCGCCUGGGGAGUACGGCCGCAAGGCUA
rnacentral:rRNA from 1 species